UCGCCUGUGAAGAAUCGCUUGUCGAUCACACCAUCUUUUGGGACUGAUUGGCCUCUUUUGGCCAUGCUGUGAUUCUGCAAUUCUGAGCCAU